CUGCUCACUUCAGCAACACCUAUCCUAAAAUUGGAACGACACAGAGAUUAGCGUGGCCUCUGCACGAGGAUGACACAAAAAUUCAUAAAGUGUUCUGUAUUUUU
rnacentral:snRNA from 1 species